UUGGAGGGCAAGUCUGGUGCCAGCAGCCGCGGUAAUUCCAGCUCCAAUAGCGUAUAUUAAAGUUGUUGCAGUUAAAAAGCUCGUAGUUGAAUUUCGGGAUCAUCAGGUUGGUCGUGCCACUGGUAUGUACUUGCCUCGGUGUCCCUCCCUCUUGAAGAACCGUAAUGCCAUUAAUUUGGUGUUGCGGGGAAUCAGGACUGUUACUUUGAAAAAAUUAGAGUGUUUAAAGCAGGCAAACGCUUGAAUACAUUAGCAUGGAAUAAUGGAAUAGGACGUUUGAUCUUAUUUUGUUGGUUUCUAGGAUCGACGUAAUGAUUAAUAGGGAUAGUUGGGGGCAUUAGUAUUCAAUUGUCAGAGGUGAAAUUCUUGGAUUUAUUGAAGACUGAUUACUGCGAAAGCAUUUGCCAAGGAUGUUUUCAUUAAUCAAGAACGAAAGUUAGGGGAUCGAAGACGAUCAGAUACCGUCGUAGUCUUAACCAUAAACUAUGCUGACUAGGGAUCGGAUGAUGUUAAUUUUUUAAUGACUCAUUCGGCGCCUUACGGGAAAC
rnacentral:rRNA from 1 species